AGUGAACGCUGGCGGUAGGCCUAACACAUGCAAGUCGAACGGCAGCACAGGAGAGCUUGCUCUCUGGGUGGCGAGUGGCGGACGGGUGAGGAAUACAUCGGAAUCUACUUUUUCGUGGGGGAUAACGUAGGGAAACUUACGCUAAUACCGCAUACGACCUACGGGUGAAAGCAGGGGAUCUUCGGACCUUGCGCGAUUGAAUGAGCCGAUGUCGGAUUAGCUAGUUGGCGGGGUAAAGGCCCACCAAGGCGACGAUCCGUAGCUGGUCUGAGAGGAUGAUCAGCCAAACUGGAACUGGGACACGGUCCGGACUCCUACGGGAGGCAGCAGUGGGGAAUAUUGGACAAUGGGCGCAAGCCUGAUCCAGCCAUACCGCGUGGGUGAAGAAGGCCUUCGGGUUGUAAAGCCCUUUUGUUGGGAAAGAAAUCCAGCUGGUUAAUACCCGGUUGGGAUGACGGUACCCAAAGAAUAAGCACCGGCUAACUUCGUGCCAGCCGCCGCGGUAA
rnacentral:rRNA from 1 species